rnacentral:rRNA from 1 species
CACGUAGGUGAUCUGCCCAUCAGACGGGGACAACGAUUGGAAACGAUCGACUAAUACCGGAUAGGACGAAAGUUUAACGGUGCUUCUGGCACCGCUGAUGGAUGAGCCUGCGGCGCAUUAGCUAGUUGGUAGGUAAAGGCCUACCAAGGCGACGAUGCGUAGCCGACCUGAGAGGGUGAACGGCCACACUGGGACUGAGACACGGCCCAGACUCCUACGGGAGGCAGCAGUAGGGAAUCUUCGGCAAUGGGCGAAAGCCUGACCGAGCAACGCCGCGUGAAUGAUGAAGGCCUUCGGGUUGUAAAAUUCUGUUAUAAGGGAAGAACGACUUUAGUAGGAAAUGGCUAGAGUGUGACGGUACCUUAUGAGAAAGCCACGGCUAACUACGUG